rnacentral:rRNA from 1 species
UACAGAGGUCCCAAGCGUUGUUCGGAUUUAUUGGGCGUAAAGGGCUCGUAGGCGGCCAACUAAGUCGGAUGUGAAAUCCCCAGGCUCAACCUGGGAACUGCAUCCGAUACUGGAUGGCUUGAAUCCGGGAGAGGGAUGCAGAAUUCCAGGUGUAGCGGUGAAAUGCGUAGAUAUCUGGAGGAAUACCGGUGGCGAAGGCGGCAUCCUGGACCGGCAUUGACGCUGAGGAGCGAAAGCUAGGGGAGCAAACGGG